UACGGAGGGUGCGAGCGUUGUCCGGAAUCACUGGGCGUAAAGCGCGUGUAGGCGGUUAGUUAAGUCGAUUGUGAAAUCCCUGGGCUCAACCGAGGAAGUGCAGUCGAAACUAACUAGCUAGAGGACGGCAGAGGAAGGUGGAAUUCCAAGUGUAGAGGUGAAAUUCGUAGAUAUUUGGAGGAAUACCUGUGGCGAAGGCGGCCUUCUGGGACCGGUCCUGGACGCUGAGACGCGAAAGCGUGGGGAGCAACAGG
rnacentral:rRNA from 1 species